GAUCAUGGCUCAGAUUGAACGCUGGCGGCAGGCCUAACACAUGCAAGUCGAGCGAGAAAGGUCUUCGGACUGAGUACAGCGGCGGACGGGUGAGUAAAGCGUAGGAAUCUACCUGGUAGUGGGGGAUAACUUGGGGAAACUCAAACUAAUACCGCAUACGCCCUACGGGGGAAAGCGGGGGACCUUCGGGCCUCGCGCUAUCAGAUGAGCCUGCGUAGGAUUAGCUAGUUGGUGAGGUAAAGGCUCACCAAGGCGACGAUCCUUAGCUGGUCUGAGAGGAUGAUCAGCCACACUGGGACUGAGACACGGCCCAGACUCCUACGGGAGGCAGCAGUGGGGAAUAUUGCGCAAUGGGCGAAAGCCUGACGCAGCCAUGCCGCGUGUGUGAAGAAGGCCUUAGGGUUGUAAAGCACUUUCAAUUGGGAAGAAAAGUUGGUCGUUAAUAGCGGCCAGCCCUGACAUUACCUUUAGAAGAAGGACCGGCUAACUCCGUG
rnacentral:rRNA from 1 species